GUCGAGAAUCUUCCGCAAUGCGCGCAAGCGUGACGGAGCGACGCCGCGUGGGUGAUGAAGGCCUUCGGGUUGUAAAGCCCUGUCACCUGGGAAGAAUGGAGGGAGGUGAAUAGCCUCUUUCUUGACGCUACCAGGGGAGGAAGCACCGGCUAAAUACGUGCCAGCAGCCGCGGUAAUACGUAUGGUGCUAACGUUGUUCGGAAUCACUGGGCAUAAAGAGCACGUAGGCGGUCGUGCAAGUCCACUGUGAAAUCCCCCGGCCUAACCGGGGAACUGCAGUGGAUACUACACGACUAGAGUGCAGGAGGGGAGAGUGGAAUUCCAGGUGGAGCGGUGAAAUGCGUAGAUAUCUGGAGGAACGCCGGUGGCGAAAGCGACUCUCUGGCCUGUUACUGACGCUGAGGUGCGAAAGCUAGGGGAGCAAACGGGAUUAGAUACCCUAGUAGUCC
rnacentral:rRNA from 1 species